AAAUCGGGUAGCUUAACUAUCUGCAUGCUAGGAAUACUGCUAUACUAGAGGGCGGGAGAGGUCUGAGGUACUACAGGGGUAGGGGUGAAAUCUUAUAAUCCUUGUAGGACCACCAGUGGCGAAGGCGUCAGACUGGAACGUGCCUGACGGUGAGGGACGAAAGCCAGGGGGAGCGAACCGGAUUAGAUACCCGGGUAGUCCUGGCCGUAAACGAUGCAUACUAGGUGAUGGCAUGGCCAUGAGCCGUGUCAGUGCCGUAGGGAAACCGUUAAGUGUGCCGCCUGGGAAGUACGGUCGCAAGGCUAAAACUUAAAGGAAUUGGCGGGGGGGCACCACAAGGGGUGAAGCCUGCGGUUCAAUUGGACUCAACGCCGGGAAACUUACCAGGGGAGACAGCAGAAUGAUGGUCAGGUUGACGACCUUACCUGACGAGCUGAGAGGAGGUGCAUGGCCGUCGCCAGUUCGUGCUGUGAGGUAUCCUGUUAAGUCAGGCAACGAACGAGAUCCGCGCCUUUAUUUGCCAGCAAGAAGUCACGACUUCGUUGGGAACACUAAAGGGACCGCCGUCGAUAAGACGGAGGAAGGAGCGGGCAAAGGCAGGUCAGUAUGCCCCGAAACCCCUGGGCUACACGCGGGCUGCAAUGGUAUGAACAAUGGGCUGUGACUCCGAAAGGAGAAACCAAUCCCGAAAUCAUAUCUCAGUGGGGAUUGUCGGCUGUAACCCGCUGGGAUGAGCGUGGAAUCCCUAGUAAUGGUGUGUCAUCAU
rnacentral:rRNA from 1 species